rnacentral:lncRNA from 1 species
CCCACAUUGCCAAGUCAAUCCUAAGCCAAAAGAUGAACAGACACUUCUCAAAAGAAGACAUUUAUGCAGCCAACAGACACAUGAAGAAAUGUUCAUCAUCACUGGCCAUCAGAGAAAUGCAAAUCAAAACCACAAUGAGAUACCAUCUCACACCAGUUAGAAUGGCGAUCAUUAAAAAGUCAGGAAACAACAGGUGCUGGAGAGGAUGUAGAGAAAUAGAUGGAAGAGACUCUGACGCUGUAUGCGCGUGGGGUUUUUAAGCUGUGCUACUGGGCUCAUUCUCACUCCAAGUCUACCUCUAGGCCAGCUCUCUCCCCUGAACAAUCACUUGUUCUCACCCACCUGUGUAUGCUUCUCUCCACUCCAAUGCACUUUAAAUAUUUUCAAUUCCCUGCCUCUGGACCAGCCUGUAGUGAAUACUGUGGUGUGCUGCCCAGCUCACCCUUCAGAACCAAGCCCUCCCUCACCCAGCUAUGGGCAAUGUUGGCUGCUGUAGGCUCAGUGGAGGCUGCCUCACCCAAGGGAAUGCCCCUUCCCCGGGAGCAGCACCCAACGUGUUGCAUAUAUUAGUCUCUUUUGCUGGAUUAAAAGCUCUUUGAAGGCAGAUACCAUGUCUUAUGCACUUUGCACAUUGCAAAGCUCAGCAAUGUUCCAGGUCUUACUUAUCAGUACACCUAUAAACCAAAACGUAGAACUUGAUUCCAACCUAAAUCCCAGAUGGAAAUCACAGUUAAAACACUGUUUUAUUUUAAGCCCAAAUCAGUUAAGAAUGUGUUUGGCUGCAAGUAUCAGAAAAUCUGAUUUAUGAGAAGUUGUUUCUUUAUCCUACAUAACGCUAACUCCUCCAUUGCAUUUCAGCUCCAAACAUGCACAAAACAUCCUCCUUGCAUUCAAUGAUGUCUGGCAUGUGGCGAUACUCCCAGUGGUAGUAGUAAUACCUUCUUCACAUGCUGCCCCUUUAUAAACUCUCUCUCACAAAGGCCAUGAGGAGGUCAAAGGCCUUCAUCAAGUAGGUGAUGGGUUUGGGGAGCAAGGCCUGCAGCGAGGGCAUGGGGACUUGGGGUACACAUCCUUGUCCCAGCUCUCUGGCAUCGUGGUGGUGGGUGGUGGACUCCACUCCUGGACAUGCUGCCCUGGCCUCUGUCUCUCUGUCCCUGUCUCACAGCCUCUCAAGUCUCUUUCUUAUUUCUUUCUGUUUGCAGGAGCAUCUUUGAAGGUGGGACAUACCACUUCAUUAUUUGUUCAUUUCUUAUCUCUAAAAAAUACCUGGUUCAGUGAUCUGAAGUUGGGGGGUGCUAAAAAGGGUCAUAAAAUUGGUAGGACAUUUUUUCAAUUUUUAAAAAAUGAGAUGAGAAGAUAAAGUAAAGUAGACAUUCAGAUUGAUGUAAAAUGGUAUCAGCCUUUGGGAAGAUUCUGAGCAAAAAUGGCCACAACCAUUCUAUUCUCCCUACUGUAUCCAUAUUCCUCCAAAGGUGACUUUGAAGCCCCUCUUAUCAAGGGGUGGGGUCUUUUUCUCCACCCCUUCAAUGUGGGCUGAUUUUGUGACUUACUUUGAGCAACAGAAUACAGCAAAAGUAACCUUGUCCUUGCACACCUGUGCCUCACACACUGCUGCUCUCUCUCAGAAACCUGCCAAACUGCCAUGUAAACAAGCCUGGACUGGCCUGCUAGAGGCAGUGACCAGCCGUUCCGGCUAAGGCCAUUCUAGGCCAGCCUGCCCUCAGCCAACUUCAGCUGACUGUAAAUGCAUGAGUGACCUCUUGGAGAUGAGAAGGACUGCCCAGCUGAGCCCAGAUCACACUGCCAACUCAGAAACUUUUGGUCUAAAUACAUAAUUGUUACUUUAUGUCACGAGAGUUUGGGGGUCAUUUGCAGCAAAAGCUAAAGAUGGACUAUCUUUGGAAAAGGAAUAGGUGAGACACUCUUCCUUGGCUUUCUACAUCAAAGGAGAUCAGUGCUUCAGAGGAGAUCAGUUCCAAAGACACUGAGUUUUAGUUGUCACACUGCUAACAUCACUUCCUGCUGCACAGCACUCCAUCCAUCAUCCAUAUGGAGGUAAUAUUUGCUAAUAAGAAUGCCAGAGGAUGAGCAAGUCAUGUGUUCUAGGAGGGCCCCAGGUACAGUUUCACCAAGCCAGGGAUAGGGGUUAUUCUUUGACUCUUUAGACACGACUUCUAUAGUUUUUAAGUGAUCAAGGGCUGCUUGUUACUAAGUAUUGCUGCUUUGAAUCACGGGAAUCAAGCACUAUAAAACCUUCAGGGA